rnacentral:tRNA from 1 species
GGAGGGGUGUCUGAGUGGUUGAAGGAACCGGUCCUGAAAACCGGAGGGUUCGUAAGAGCCUCGCGAGUUCGAAUCUCGCCCCCUCCG